rnacentral:rRNA from 1 species
GACGAACGCUGGCGGCGUGCUUAACACAUGCAAGUCGAACGGAAAGGCCCUGCUUUUGUGGUGUUCUCGAGUGGCGAACGGGUGAGUAACACGUGAGUAACCUGCUCUUGACUUUGGGAUAACUUCAGGAAUCUGGGUCUAAUACCGUAUAGGAGCUCCUGCUGCAUGGUGGUGGUUGGAAAGUUUCGGGGGUUGGGGGUGAGCGCGCGGCUUAUCAGCUUGUGGGGUGGGGAGGGGCUUACCAAGGCGUUGACGGGUGGCCGGCCUGAGAGGGUGACCGGGCAAGUUGGGGCUGAGAGACGGACCAGACGCCGACGGGGGGCAGCAGGGGGGAAGAUGGCACCAGGGGCGCAAGCCUGAUGCAGCCACGCCGCGGGGGGGAGGACGGCCUUCGGGUUGGAAACACCUUUCGCCAGGGACGAAGCCGUGUGUGACGGUACCUAGAGAAGAAGCACCGGCUAACUACGUG